rnacentral:misc_RNA from 1 species
ACAAACUUGGUCAUUUAGAGGAAGUAAAAGUCGUAACAAGGUCUCCGUAGGUGAACCUGCGGAGGGAUCAUUACCGAGUGAGGGCCCCCGGCCCGACCUCCCACCCCCUGUGAUAUUCCCUUGUUUCCUCGGGGGCACCCGGCCUCGCCGCGCCCCUGGCGGACCUUUCAGACACGUUUGUCCAUGCGUCGGUUUGAUUGAAGAAUGAUGAAUCAAAACUUUCAACAACGGAUCUCUUGGUUCUGGCAUCGAUGAAGAACGCAGC